ensembl:lncRNA
AUACAACUGUGGUUUGUUGGAGGUAAACCUGUUGGAGGUCCUGCAGGUUGGAGAAGCACGGCGUGCUGCACAAAGGCUUCUUAGCACAGACCAUGAAACAUUAGGCGGGACAUUUUUAGCUUUGAGCUUAAUUCUUUUGAGGUGAGACUUUCAAGAAGCUCUCAGAAACGACAGCAGCAGCUGCUUAAACUUUUAGCCUGCUCACAAAACUCGCUUCAUUCAAACCCUACAGGAAGUACAUCAUAACCGCCUUUGUUCGGCCAAAAAUCACACACUUUUUUGUAUAUUUGGCCUAUAAUUGACAUUUUACAAUCAUCAUUUACAUCCUAUAUUUCUAUAAUCACUGCAAACUGGGAGAGUUUAUAGAAGCUGAAAACUGCAAAUUGCCUUUUAAAAGACAAACCAGUAUUUUAGAUCUUUGGCAGUUUAAAAGUGUUGAACGUUGUUUAAAACACUAAGCGUGAUAUUUUUACUUCUUAACCAGCCGUGUGUGGAGGAGCGGAACAGACAGGCGACACAAACACCGGAUCAAAUGUGUUUGUGUCGCCUGUUGUGCUGUUGUUUUUAGGGUUUUCACUGUGGAAUCCCCUCAUGUGGUGAUGAUGGUGAUCUGAAUGUAAACGGAGAGGACCACACAGACCAGCAGGUCAGUCCUCUCUGCCUGCGUGCUUCAUCCAGAGCCACGGCAACGAGGAUAUCUAUAUCUAUAGAUAUAGACAACCAAAGAGCUAAUGGAACAACGACCAGACGUCGGAGAGAAAACCUACUAAGUUGCAUUGUUGUUGAACUAAGUAAUACGGACUGUAUCAAAAGGAAAACUCUGAUAUGACAUUUUAAAGAACUUGCUCAAAAUUCCUCAAAAAAAAAAGUUUAACCCAACCUCGUGCAAUUAUUGUGCUUAGCAUUUGGGCUUAUUGUAGUAGUUAAUCAGUCCAAUAAUCGAAUAUGAAACGUGUAUAUCAGGGGUCUUUAGUUUAGUCAAUGACACAAAAUGAGUCCCUUGGGAGAAGACGUUGGGCGGAUGUUAUCCUGUUGUAAUGCAGCAUAGACGUACACCUCAAACCUACAUCUCAAUGAGCAUUUGACCAAUCAGCUUUAUCGCUGCAGCGCAAGUCUUUGGUUUUAUUAGCAAUGAUGGCACUGGAGCCAUAAAACAAAGUGCAAUCAGAUGAUCAGCUGUUUCCAUUCACAUAUUGUACAGACUGUAGACGGCCAAGCCAACUUUGGUUUGGCUUCUGGUUCACAAGCAAAUUUGUUUGCAACAUUUGAAAAAUGUGCUUAAAACUCGGACACUCGGAUGAAACCAACCAGGUUGAAACAGGUUUGUCAAACUCAUUUAGAACAUAAGGUGAAGGUGAAAGCUACAACUCAAGUUGUGAUGAAUCCUAUUUUCUUUGAGACCUUUGAUCCAUAGACUGACCUAAGCUCCAGUAAGUUUAGGAUUCAACAUGCCGUUAUUUUGCUGAAAUGAUAGAAAAAGGCAUCAUGAAGGUGUAUGACUCUGGGUACGAAGGAGAAAUAGUCAAGCUUCCCAAAAACCAAAGUAUUUAUAUGAUAUGAAAAUGGGUUUCUGGUGUUGGAAAGGAGACACAAUAACCAUAAAGCCAGUACUCGUGUCUUUCCAGCCAUCACCUUAUAUUGAAAUAAUGUUGUCCCAACAGUGAGCCAGCGUGCUGCUCGACCUGCUGACUGCCAACUGAAGGAAUG